CCAGCUCCAAUAGCGUAUAUUAAAGUUGUUGCAGUUAAAAAGCUCGUAGUUGAAACUUGGGCCUGGCUGGCGGGUCCGCCUCACCGCGUGCACUCGUCCGGCCGGGCCUUCCUUCUGAAGAACCUCAUGCCCUUCACUGGGCGUGCUGGGGAAUCAGGACUUUUACUUUGAAAAAAUUAGAGUGUUCAAAGCAGGCCUUUGCUCGAAUACGUUAGCAUGGAAUAAUAAAAUAGGGCGUGCGUUUCUAUUUUGUUGGUUUCUAGAGACGCCGCAAUGAUUAACAGGAACAGUCGGGGGCAUCAGUAUUCAGUUGUCAGAGGUGAAAUUCUUGGAUUUACUGAAGACUAACUACUGCGAAAGCAUUUGCCAAGGAUGUUUUCAUUAAUCAGGGAACGAAAGUUAGGGGAUCGAAGACGAUCAGAUACCGUCGUAGUCUUAACCGUAAACUAUGCCGACUAGGGAUCGGGCGAUGUUCUUUUUCUGACUCGCUC
rnacentral:rRNA from 1 species